AAAGAACUUUGAAGAGAGAGUUCAAGAGUACGUGAAACCGCCCAGAGGUAAACGGGUGGAUCCGCAAAGUCGGUCCGCGGAAUUCAGCGCGGCGAGCGGCCCGGGGUCGCCGUGGUUCGGGAUCCUUUGAGAACCGACCGCGGUGUCCGAGCCGGGUCCCGCCGCGUGCACUUUCCGCGGACAGAGAGCCACAACCGGUUAGGCGAUCUGCGGUCACAGGCCGGGAGGGUUGUAGGUGGGGUCGUUCGCUUCCCUACCAGCCUUCCCCGGAUAGCCGCCGCCUUACCGAGGGACAACCACGCGCUUCGAGGCCACCCUCCCCUCCGGGAGAGUUCGACUGGGAGAGACUGGGCAACCGUGUCUCCCGACCGCUCGCCCGCGAUCGGCGCUGGGCUGGCCGGGCGCGAAAUUUGAGGGUUAGUGGCAAGUCUGUCGGCAUUCCACCCGACCCGUCUUGAAACACGGACCAAGGAGUCUAACAUGCGCGCGAGUCAUUGGGCGGUACGAAACCCAAAGGCGCAGUGAAAGCGAGGGUCGCCUCGAGUGGCCCAGGUGGGAUCCUCUCCUCUAUGAGCAAUCUGCGAGGAGGGGC
rnacentral:rRNA from 1 species